AGUCUGGUGCCAGCAGCCGCGGUAAUUCCAGCUCCAAUAGCGUAUAUUAAAGUUGUUGCAGUUAAAAAGCUCGUAGUUGGAUUUCUGGUAUGAUGCGUUUGUCCCGGCUAGCAAUAGAUCGUGUGACUUUGCGCGUCUACCAUCCUUCGCUUCAGAUGUGCUGACGUGUAAAAGCGUUAGCAGCUGUUGUGAUCAUUACUUUGAAAAAAUUAGAGUGUUUAAAGCAGGCUUGUGCCUUGAAUACAUUAGCAUGGAAUAAUAAUAUAGGACUGGGUUCCUAUUUUGUUGGUUUUCUGGAAUCAAGUAAUGAUUGAUAGGGAUAGUUGGGGGUGCUAGUAUUCAGCGGCCAGAGGUGAAAUUCUUUGAUUCGCUGAAGACUAACUUAUGCGAAAGCAUUCACCAAGGAUGUCUUCUUUAAUCAAGAACGAAAGUUGGGGGAUCGAAGACGAUCAGAUACCGUCGUAGUCUCAACCAUAAACUAUACCGACUAGGGAUUAGCGGAAGUUGCUUUUCGACUCCGUUAGCACCUUAUGAGAAAUCAUAAGUCCUUGGGUUCUGGGGGGAGUAUGGUCGCAAGGCUGAAACUUAAAGGAAUUGACGGAAGGGCACCACCAGGAGUGGAGCCUGCGGCUUAAUUUGACCCAACACGGGGAAACUUACCAGGUCCAGACACAGGGAGGAUUGACAGAUUGAAGUUCUUUCUUGAUUCUGUGGGUGGUGGUACAUGGCCGUUCUUAGUUGGUGGAGUGAUUUGUCUGGUUUAUUCCGUUAACGAACGAGACCUCGACCUGCUAAAUAGUAUGAGGUACUCCGGUACCUACGUGCUUCUUAGAGGGACUGACGGUGGUGAGCCGUAGGAAGUUCGAGGCAAUAACAGGUCUGUGAUGCCCUUAGAUGUUCUGGGCCGCACGCGCGCUACACUGAUACGUUCAUCGAGCAUACAACCUGGGUUGAGAGACUUGGGUAAUCUUUUCAAAGCGUAUCGUGCUGGGGAUAGAUCAUUGUAAUUAUUGAUCUUCAACGAGGAAUUCCUAGUAAGCGCGAGUCAUCAGCUCGCACUGAUUACGUCCCUGCCCUUUGUACACACCGCCCGUCGCUGCUACCGAUUGAAUGCAUUAGUGAGCUCCACGGACCGCUGUAUUUGUUCGCAAGGGCUUUUAUGGUGGAAUGUGGCGCAAACUUGCGCAUUUAGAGGAAGCAAAAGUCGUAACAAGGUUUCCGUAGGUGAACCUGCGGAAG
rnacentral:rRNA from 1 species